GCCGCCCACCGCCCCGGACCUGUUCUCCGCUUCGGCGUGUCCUGGUGCUUGUGCUCGUGUCGGAGCGGCGGCUUGGGCUGGGCUCGGCCGUCGGGCGGCGGCAGGAGGAAAAGGCCAGCAAGGCUUUCCCCUCGGAUUGCCUCUCCCGGUCCCUCCGAGGCAGAACGCGACCAGAGCCCAGGGCUCUCUCCUCUCCGCAGGCGCCCGGGCAGCGCUGAGACAGGGGUUUGAUUUGAACGCGGAGCAGUGAGGAGCCGAGGCAGGAGUUAAUGAGGAAAGCAGGUAAAAAAGAGCAGAGAGAGAGGGAUGGGGAGACACGAGAUUGACACAUUCAGGCUGGAGUCAGAGGCAGAGUCCUGCGCCCAGUUAUUCACCACGCCAGUGUGAUUAAUUACCUCCAAAUACUCCGAGUGUGCACCACAGCAAAGAGGGUGGAAGAGUGACAAAAGAAAACGUGAUCACGUAAUUAAAGACUGUUACAAUUAAUGUGCACAAAAAGAAUAAACAGGCUGCGUAGAAGAUCUUAAAAAUAUUACUUCCUCGCUUCUCAGGGCUUGUAUUACCUGCUGUAUUUUUUUAGUAUUUUAAUAAAGUUCCAUCUCCGGAAAGCCCUAUCAGACUUUGGGCACUGUACAAUGGACAGAGCCCCUGCCCAGAGAUUUUACUGUUCCCAAGUUUUAUUUCAACAUAACAUAGUUGAAAGUUUAUGCCUUGAGCACAGCUUCCCACUCCCCCCUCCUCUUUAAUACAUAGGAGGUAGAACUUUUCCUACCAGAAAUACCAACUUCUACAUUUAGAUGAUUUUUUUUCCAAGAUUUGAGGUACCUGAAAUAUGAGUUCUGUGCCAAAUGGGUCCCACAGUUUACAUUUCUUUCAGCACAACGCAAAGCAAUUUAAAAUGCAGUGAAACCAUUUAAGCAAGCAACUAUGAACUUUGGGCUUUGCCCGUGCUCUCAGGAAUAACGGUCCUUUCAAACGCUGACUCACAGAGUGACCUCACAUCGCUUAGGAGACAAGUCUUAAAAUGAGGAGUCAGGCUUUAAUCACAGUUGACAUUUUAUUGGUGGCUUGGAAGAAUUUAUUUUUAAUAUAAGGAACCAGCUUGAAGACAUGCACUUCAAAAGAUUCUGAAGAAAGCAAUUAUGGGCAAAGUAGCUCUGCAUACACAUACACCAGAAAUCUAAAUACAGAGGGCAGUGGGUUGUCUCUUCAUGAAAGACAAAGCAACUAUUUUACAGCUUACAAGUGUCAUGUUGUCAGUGUUACACUAUCUAAAGCUUGCAAAAACGGAUUUUAAAAAACGCCGAAUAAUACAGCGUGGGGCCCAUCACCUUCAGGAACCCCCCUAACAAAGGAAGCGCGGGUGUCCCACCCCCCGAGGCGGUAACCCCACAUCUGCAAGGUGGGUCGGGCCCCACUUACUGCAGGGAUGUGUUUUUAAAGGUACUACAAGUGCCAGCAUGCAGCGCUGCACCGCAGCCCAGUGCUCCUACCUGCCAUGCUGGGACAUGCAGUCUUCAGAAACUACGUAUUAAUCCCAUCACUAGCAAACCGUUGCACCACUUACACUGUGUAUUAAUAUUAAAGUUGUUUGGGAAGUGUUCUCUGUGGGAGAGGGAAAUAGGAGAUUUCCAAGCCUCAUUCGCAGCAGUUUUCCUUCUUACUGCUCUUUGAGUUUGACAAGGCAGCAGCAUCUCAGGCAAAGGGAAAAGGUAAUUCUCUUUGUAAUUUCACAUCCAGUCCCAAGUAUUCCUACAUUCAGGCACAAAGCUGGGCACAGCCAGCAUAAUUUCUAACUCGGUGAUUUAUUCAAAGCUUUAUUUUAUAAAGCUUUGAAGUCAAUGGCUUUUCAGAGAACCUGCCAUUUAAAGCUGCAAAAUGAAGGCAGCAAGGAAUGAAUCAACUGCUACAGAAACCACGAGAAAGUUUUCCUGGAGAGUCUGACCCGAGAUGAGUUUUGAAUUCGUAUGAAAAUGCAGUUAAACUGAUGAGCUAUUCUAGUGAUUUUCUAAGAACAAAUAACUUCCUUGCAAAGGCAAUCCUCUUUAAGCCACUACAUUCAAUUUCCAUUAAGUGUUUUAGGGUAAGUUGAAACUAUAAAACUAAUCCAUGAAAAGAAAAAUGCUGGCUUUGUAAUAUUUCUCGUGUCUGUCUCCUGUUUAAAACUCAAAAUUGGGAAACAAAGUGACCAUAUUUAUAGAUAUUGGGAAGGGCUCUUAUGCAAAGUAUGUGUGGCAUUUAUUUACAUUUUUUUGCCACAGUGUUUUUGUUUAUAGCAAGGGGUCAGACUUGCAAAAUUCUCUGUAUUCUAACACAUCCAACCUAACAAAGCAGUCAAAGAGAAGUUUACUUCCAAGUAUGUUUAACUGUACUAUUCAAAACUUGCCACAUUUGGCCCCUGAAAUCUAGAGUAUUUCAGUGCCGUUGUGAUUUACCAGCUGAUAUUCAAAUGUUGGAGGAAGACUCAGAUCUCAGAAGCAGUUUAGCUGAGAUGGAUGACGGGGUGACAGUGCUCCUUGCAGCCUUCUGCUUCACCAGGGGUACAGCUAGCGCCAUGGAGCUCACAACACCAGCCUCUGCAAUUACCUUCAGGUAAGGUGGAGCCUCUCCUUGACUCCAUUUUUGUACUCUGCUGUGUGCAUUAUUUAUAGAUACAAAGCUGGUCUCUUUAAAGACUUCCCUAUCCAGACAUAGCUUGAUAGAGACUUUGGGUUAGAGUUCUUAAAAAGCAGCCCCCCCC